UACAGAGCCUCGAGCGUUAGGCGGAAUCACUGGGCUUAAAAGCGUGUGUAGGCGGACUUCUAAGUACCCUUGUGAAAUCCCACGGCUUACCCGUGGAACGGCUGGGUAUACCUGGGGAGUCUUGAGCCACCUAGGGGCGAGUGGAACAAAUGGUGGAGCGGUGGAAAUGACGUAGACUAUCAUUUGGAACGCCAAUGGUGAACAACUCGCUGGUGUGACUGACGCUGGAGACACGAAGCCCAGG
rnacentral:rRNA from 1 species